AACGAACGCUGGCGGCAUGCCUAACACAUGCAAGUCGAACGAGACCUUCGGGUCUUGUGGCGCACGGGUGCGUAACGCGUGGGAACCUGCCCUUAGGUUCGGAAUAACUCCCCGAAAGGGGUGCUAAUACCGGAUAAUGUCUUCGGACCAAAGAUUUAUCGCCUUUGGAUGGGCCCGCGUUGGAUUCGCUAGUUGGUAGGGUAAAAGCCUACCAAGGCGACGAUCCACAGCUGGUCUGAGAGGAUGAUCAGCCACACUGGGACUGAGACACGGCCCAGACUCCUACGCGAGGCAGCAGUGGGGAAUAGUGGACCACGGGGGAAAGCCUGAUCCAGCAAUGCCGCGUAAGUGAUGAAGGCCUUAGGGUUGUAAAGCUCUUUUAACCGGGAUGAUAAUGACAGUACCGGGAGAAUAAGCUCCGGCUAACUACGUG
rnacentral:rRNA from 1 species